UUCUACGUGUCUUCCCUGUCGUUUAUUGUCCACGUGCUCUUUUCUUCUUUCUCCCUGUUUCUUUUGGGUCAACUUCCACCGCUGUUUCUUUCUUUUUGUUCUUGCUUUUUUUUUUGGAUAGGUAACUUCUCUCUCUUCUUCUUCUAUUUCCCCUUUUUGUUUUACAGAAGAUGAAGAUGUGGAUGCAACGGGGUUCGAUCAGUUGGAAGAAAAGGUUUCCGACAGGGCCGAACAGAAGGAAAAGAGAAAAGGCAAUUGGUCUCGGUGGUGAUUGACGAACAGGGGUAUGGCGAUCCACACCCAGCGGCGGCAGUAGGUGGCUCCACCACUUCUUCCUCUUCUAUUUCGUUCGUCCGGCAGCAAACCCAGAUGGAGAAAGCAUGGUGGAGUUGUCCCCUUCUACAAAUGGCGGCGAAGCGCACCUGCGACGGUAGUAGCAGCGGACGAAAGCUGCGCCGGUAGUAGCAUCGGACGAAAGCUGCAAUCACGACAGCAGCAAAUGGCGGUGAACAAGUGUUUGGUGGCUGUUGUGGAGUUAGAAGGGAAAGAGAGUGGUGCGACGGGGUGGGUCUCGGUCUAUGGGAUCAACGAGAAAGAUGGAGACGGACUGCCUGUUGCGGUGAUUGCAGAAAUCAAGGCAGAAGCCACAAAGCUUCAAUUUGGAUAAACUAUUGGCAAAUUCACCUCCAUGGCCUCCAAUAAUAAGUACUACCCUUGAUAGAGACAUGAUAACAGUGGAGUUUACCAAUCUUAUAAUAUCGGAUUCCAACGUGUAAAUGGUUUUCAGAUCGCGUCGCCGCUAGCAUCUCAUCUAACCCGAAUCUUCUUUGGCAGUUCAAUCAAUCAAAACUCCUAACCUUGCAACAGAAAACCAACAAACAGCCUACAUCUCAGGUCAAUGAUUCAGAGACUUGGGCCAUCUCCAUCACGAAAAUCGACCGGCCUGGCUUAGGAUCAGGCUUCGCAGCGAGGUGGGAGGCAAGGAACUGUCACUGGUGUUGAAAUGAAAACGAAGGUUGGGACAAGCAGGUAGUAAAAGGGGGAAGCUCCUGCUACUGUCAAAUCUUACUAUCACCAAAGAAUUGUUGUUUGCCCUGUUGUAGAAGGGGAUUCCAUCUUUUGGGUAUGGUGGAUGAUGUUAAGGGUUAUACACAACCUAAUAGUUCAUCUUCACUUUCUUUCAUAAAGUCAAAAUAUAGAUGACUGAGGGUUUAUCCGUUUCAUUUGCUACUUUGGAGAUGCACAUUAGAAUGGAGUAUAUGUAUCAAAUUAAGUAUCACAAUCAAAUGAUUUGACUUGCACAUUAGAUGUUUGACAGAAUGCCUGAAUGAAACUGAUCAGAUUCUCUUGAAAGCAACUUUUGAUUAUGGAUUUUAUUUACAUUUACAGAUUGAUCUGCAAGUGGUCCCUCAUUUUGAGUUUUCAGUCAAAAAUCCACAUGAUGUUUGGGAUGGAAAAAACAUGGAUUAUGUAAGAUAGGUUAUUCAGUGUAGAUAUUUCGCAUGGCUUGAAAUAGAGGAUGGAGUAAUUUCCAUUCGAACGUGGUUCAACAAAUCAUGAGUUUAUUCAUCUUUUAAAUAUUUAGAGCUUUUAUGUUAAUUCCAGGUGAUGCUCAAUACAGUUGUUGCUGCAAUAUUAGUGCUUAAAAUUUGUACAGGUGGUGAUUGGUCCUCAACACUUAAAAGGUAACCAUUUGAUUCAACAUGUGGAUAUUGUAAACCAAAAUCAAAAGUUUAACAGGUUAGCAAAUAAUUUUUAUAUAUAAAUUUUUAUUCUCAACUUUUUGGAUGUUUUUUGAUAGAGUUUGGAGAGCAGGGGAAUUGCCCCCAGGUGGUGUUUGUAUUGCUAAUGAAGUUCAAGCUAGAUUUAGACAGAAUGGCAAAAUAGUCAACUUUUUCUUUUUAGUAGUUCGGAUUUAUUAUUAUUAUUAUUAUUAUUAUUAUUAUUAUUAUUAUUAUUAUUAUUAUUAUUAUGUGACAUGGAAUAAAAAGAAGUCUUUUUAUCACAUGCAUGUGAUAUUAUCAAAGUAGUCAAUUUUAGUAUGGUGAAAAAUGUGAGGCAAUGUAUGUUUGAUGAGAAUAAUCAUGUUUUUUACUCGAGUUACUAAUGAUAAUCAGUUUUUUUUUUUGGGAUAUAGAAAUGAACGAGGAAGACGAGUUCAAUGGCUGCAAGUUUAGGAAGGAGUACACACCACAACAAUUCAAUGAUGAAUCCAUUAAUUAUCACUUACAAUCACACGUGGUUUCAGGUUUAAUCCCAGUAGCAUAACCUUAUUUAGGGUUGACCUGCCUGUCGAGAUGAGUGAGUACAUACUCUUAUUGGGAUCAAAAUAUUGGUGCUUUAGUUGAUGAAUCCACAAUUGAUGAGGGCGUUUUGGUAAUUCGUCCAAAUGCUGACACAGAAUGCUUAAAUCUGGGUAUUUGUAAAUACACUAUAAUAUUAUUCUUUUUUGCUUCUCAUUCCCGCUUUCACAUAUAUUGAUUGUUUGGUUACAUGGUUCUUUGUCAUGCAACAUAAGGAUUGUGUUAUACAAAUAUGGAGUAUGUAUUUUGUUUUUUACUCAUAAUAAUGAAAAUACACUCAUCUAAAUACAAUGAAAAUCCAUUCAAUUCAA